rnacentral:rRNA from 1 species
CCUACGGGGGGCAGCAGUGAGGAAUAUUGGUCAAUGGACGAGAGUCUGAACCAGCCAGGUAGCGUGAAGGAUGACUGCCCUAUGGGUUGUAAACUUCUUUUAUAUGGGAAUAAAAUGUUCCACGUGUGGGAUUUUGUAUGUACCAUAUGAAUAAGGAUCGGCUAACUCCGUGCCAGCAGCCGCGGUAAUACGGAGGAUCCGAGCGUUAUCCGGAUUUAUUGGGUUUAAAGGGAGCGUAGGUGGAUUGUUAAGUCAGUUGUGAAAGUUUGCGGCUCAACCGUAAAAUUGCAGUUGAAACUGGCAGUCGUGAGUACAGUAGAGGUGGGCGGAAUUCGUGGUGUAGCGGUGAAAUGCUUAGAUAUCACGAAGAACUCCGAUUGCGAAGGCAGCUCACUGGACUGCAACUGACACUGAGGCUCGAAAGUGUGGGUAUCAAACAGGAUUAGAUACCCCUGUAGUC